rnacentral:piRNA from 1 species
UGGGAGAUGAAAUUUUAAAACAUCAUUGAU